rnacentral:rRNA from 1 species
UACGAAGGGUGCAAACGUUGCUCGGAAUCAUUGGGCGUAAAGCGCACGUAGGCGGCCUCGCAAGUUGGAUGUGAAAUCCCAUGGCUCAACCAUGGACGUGCAUCCAAAACUGCUUGGCUUGAGUACUGAAGAGGAUCGCGGAAUUCCCGGUGUAGAGGUGAAAUUCGUAGAUAUCGGGAGGAACACCAGUGGCGAAGGCGGCGAUCUGGGCAGAUACUGACGCUGAGGUGCGAAAGCGUGGGGAGCAAAC